CAACAAAACCACUUUGUUAGGUUUAGGCAACAAAACCACUUAGUUUGGUUUAGGCAACAGUUAAGUUUGGGGAAAAACAUUGAGUUCUGACUUUAAAUAACUAGGAUUCAAAAGUGAAAGGGAAACGUAACGCUUGUGAACACGUUGUUGGUUUCACACGUUGUUUGUUUCACACGUUGUUGGUUUCACACGGGAUGCGAACCCCGGCCUCCCUGGGGUGAAAACCCUGAGAGUGUCCCAUCCAUCGCCCCCGACCUCUACCCCAUAUGGAGUUUCAUGCUGUCUGUACCACAGCGGCUGAGUUCCGCUUCUGCUCCUGUCAUAAUUAAUACGGACGCUAGAGGUCACCGUUGUCUUCUUUUAUACAUUCUUUCGGUGAUCUACUAUGUGAAUAGAUGAUAAAACCUACUAGUGGGUGUAGUAGGCCCGUAUUGACCCACAUCUAUGGUGCUUAUAGCGACCAAUAACGCCUAUUAAAUGGCCUAACAACAGUCUAAUUAGGUAACAUUUGAGAACUUGAUCCACUGUAGAUUUUAUUAUAUAUAUUUCUUUAUUACCUUUAAAAAUUGUAGAGCUGUGAAUCAGAAAUUGUCCUCACAUCCCAGUAAAAUUACCAUGGGGGCCAUUAUAGAGUGCCAUGUUAUUUCAUUAUUCACUGUCUGUGGAAUAGCUCCAGGAUUUGUUUUUAGAUGACAUUAUUACUACAGUCUGUCUCUGUGUGUCGGCUUAAACAGAGACUUCUUCAAAUCAACCAACGGAGCUGUGAAAUAUUACAGAAAUGACAUAUGUAUUUGAAUUUUACGAAUGAUUUUCCCUUUAGCAAAUGAAAUCUUAAUGCUCCGUCUACCUCCUUCGACUCAAACAGUAGACUGUGUGCCCAACGUGUGUCAUUUUGCAAUUCAAUCCCGCAAUUAAACAUUCCAGUAAUGAACUCCUCCCCUCCUGUCCCGUCCUGCGCUGCCUCUCCUGUGUAUAGUGUUUGUUGUACUAAUUUUAUAUACUGUACAGUUAUUCUGAGGACUUUAUGAGCAGUAACCAGCUGCCUGAAUGAAAAACAAAAUGUAUUUGUCAAAAACUGAUGUGCGAAUAAAAACAAAUAAGAAGUC